rnacentral:rRNA from 1 species
UCUUGUACUCACCGCCCGUCGAACUCAAGGGAGAUGGGAGUACCCGAAGGGUCACUUAUGUGCACCACGGUAAGCUCAUCGACAGGGAGU